GCCUUUUCUACGCCACUUCUUAGUGCACAUCACCACUAAAGAAGAAGCUUUCCUUCGUGUUUCUUUUUGAUACAAAUUUCACAAUAUUAUCUUCCAAGAUACUGCAUCCUUCUCAUUCUCGAACGGUUGUGAUUGAGUGGUGUACACAGCUUUUUUUACGAGCGUGUGUAGCCAUUAGCACUUGGUGAAGAUGUGGAUCCUCCUUGCGUCACUUCUUGCUUUCGCCUAUGGAGCAAGUGUAUUCACAUAUAAUCCAAGGUGCCCCUACGAUGAGGGAAUGAAGUGCAUAAAUCAAAGUUUGAAAUUCGCCUGCCUCAUCCAAAGCCCGCACACAACCGUCAGG
rnacentral:lncRNA from 1 species